rnacentral:rRNA from 1 species
UACAGAGGGGGCAAGCGUUGUUCGGAAUUACUGGGCGUAAAGGGCGCGUAGGCGGCCUGUUAAGUCGAACGUGAAAUCCCCGGGCUCAACCCGGGAACUGCGUCCGAAACUGGCAGGCUUGAAUUCGGGAGAGGGAUGCGGAAUUCCAGGUGUAGGCGGUGAAAUGCGUAGAUAUCUGGAGGAACACCGGUGGCGAAGGCGGCAUCCUGGAGCCGGAAGUUGACGCGUGACGGCGCGAAAGCC